ensembl:lncRNA
GGGGGAGUGGGAUUUGGAGGGGGAGGAGUGAGUGCAGCCCCGGGACAGGAAAGGAACCCUGUGCGGCCAUAACCCACCUCCGUGUGGGGUGUGUGGUUGGGAAAUGGAUGUGGGAUUGGGGUUCGGAUGUGGGGUAUGGAAUUAUGGCUGUGGGAUUGGGAUGGGGAUUAUGGUGUGGGAUUGGAAGGUGGUGUAUAGGAUUGGGGGUGUGGGGUUGUGGUUGGGAUAAGGUCUGGGAUAUGGGAUUAGGGGUAUGGGAUUGGUAUGUGGGAUGUGGGAUUGGGAUGUGGGAUAUAGGAUUGGGGGUGUGGGAUUGGGGUUUGCAUUGGGAUGGGGGCUGUGGGGUGUAGGGUUGAGGUGUAGGGUUGGGGUGUAGGGUUGGGGAUUUGGGAUUUGCUUUGGGAUGGGGGCUGUGGGGCCUGGAUGUGGGCUAUUGGGUUGGGAUGUUGGGUUGGGAUUUAGGUUAGGAUGUGGGAUAUAGGAUUAGGGGUGUGGGACUGGGGUUUGCAUUGGGAUGUGGGCUGUGGGGCUGGGAUGUGGGGUUGGGAUUGAGGUCAGGAUGUGGGAUGUAAAGAAAUGUGCCCUGUUCACAGGUGGGUCGUGUGGUGUUGUGGGGAAGCACUGCAGAUGGAAAGCUGCUGUGUGGAGCCCCACAGGAUGAGUUGCAGAGGCCCCUGAAGGAAAAGGAGAAGGAAGGGCAUUUGCAGAGGGAAAGGCUGUCCCGCUGGCCUUAGGUGUUGCUGAACGGGAGGGGUGGCCAAUGCUUUCUCUUUCCGCUGACUCACGGAUGGUGGCAAAUGCCUUCUGGGGGUGGUUCCAGCAGUGGGAAGAAAACAACUGGCAGCGGAGGGGUGAACCUCUUUGGGCUGCUGAGCUGUGUGCUGAACCAUAAGGAAGGUGGCUGUAAAGGUGUGCCGUGCAGAUGUCGUGUGCCCAGCAGUCGGGCCUAUGAAGAGCAACAAAUGAAGCACCAGGUGGGUCGAGCUGCCACAAUUCUAUUUCUAUUUGCCCUUGCUUUGCUUUGCUCUGCUCUUUUGUUCUUCCUUUUCACCUCUGCUUCACAUUGCUCUGCGUUGCUUUCUGGCUUUCUUUGCUUUGCUUGAUUUCCGACUCUGCUUCUUCUCUCUUCUUCCCGUUGCUUUCGUGUUUCCUCUUUUUCAGUUGGCUUUUAAUUUG